AUCACCGAGGGCAUUAACCGGGAUCCAACGACGCCCUUGUCUGAGCUGUUUGUAUUUGGAUCUCCCCAUUGCUGGCCAAGUACAGUGCUAGCUGCUGGGAUCCCUGUAAGGACCACACGUUGCAUUUGACUGUCUGGCCCUUAGGUUUGCUGCAAUCUAGGCUUCCCAUCCUUCUUUUAAUUGACAUUUUGAAGAUCCCAUAUCUGAUGUCUUGUAAAAUGCCAGCGACCUGAAUGGGUCUGAUUGUUUCUUCCUGAUUCGGUUCAGUUCAAACGCUUUCGGCUGUGAAUACUAAAUAGGGGAUGUCAUGUCCUUAUUACAGCACUACCCAACGGGGCAUGUAAUGUCCCGUUUGUCUAUUUUUGGUGACCUACAUUGGAUUGGUGGUGAAGGUGAUGGAGGCCAGAUUGUUCCUUUGGGGAAGUCAUCACUUCCCAUUUGUAACGGACGUGUAAUCUUGAUGAUACGGAGAGGCCUGUGAAUGUUCUCCUGUACCCACUGGCUGUUCACCUGCUUGGGAGCUGGGAGACUCAUCUGUCUCUUAAAGGGCCAGCACUUCUGCUGGCAUAUGGCUUAUAUGUAAGGCCACACAGGAGUCCAGGGACUGGCGUCUCUUCCCACAGAGCUAUUUUUCCACCUGCAGCAGAAUCUUGGUCUCUGAGGACAGCGCAGUGUGAUGGCUUCUAGUCCUCUAGGUGGAGCUGAGGACGGUCACCAGCGGGAGUGGUGAGGCUGACUGCUUGUUUAUCCUCUGGAUUCCUGCUUGGAACAGUGUGAUCUCCUGGCUGGGCCAUCUAUCGCGGUGGAAACCUUUUCUGAGAUUUAUCGUCCUGUUCCCGCUGGCUUCGGACUGUGGGAAGGUAAAAAAUGUCCUUUUUGAGGCAAUAAAAUAUAAAA